UACGGAGGGUGCGAGCGUUGUCCGGAAUCACUGGGCGUAAAGGGCGCGUAGGCGGCCUGCUAAGUAGGGGGUGAAAUCCUGCGGCUUAACCGCAGGGCUGCCUUCUAAACUGUCAGGCUCGAGCACAGUAGAGGCAGGUGGAAUUCCCGGUGUAGCGGUGGAAUGCGUAGAGAUCGGGAAGGACAUCAGUGGCGAAGGCGGCCUGCUGGGCUGUUGCUGACGCUGAGGCGCGACAGCGUGGGGAGCAAACAGG
rnacentral:rRNA from 1 species